UUUUUUUUUUUUGGAACUCUUCGAAAUCCAUCCCACAGCUGGCACAGUUGUCCGGCUCCAUUUGGCACAGCUGUGAUUCAACUGCUCUGAGUCACAUGGGCUUGAGGCUGCCACGUCUGGCUGCACAGGCCCGUAUGUGGGUGUACGUCAUGAAUAGUAACCUCUGCUCCAACUCUGGGUCCAAAAGAGAGGUCAGGACAAUAGAAAGGGUUCAGGAAUGAAGAAUUUGGGGAUAGGGAAUUGUUUUGAAAGACUGGUAAACUUCAUCCCUUCCAACUUCCCUUUCCCAGAUUGAUGUCUGAUGUCUGCUGCAUUCAUCCAAGGGACUCUGUGUUGCAUGAGAGAGCAGCAAAUUCUCAUGUACAAAGGAAUGCACACUCCCCCUAGGAGUGCCAAGUAAAACAUAGGAAAGACUAGCUUGCAAGGUUGUCCAUUCAGACUCACCCCACCAGCAUCUACUUGGAACUCCUGCCAUAUGGGUGUGUGACAGGAUACAAGGGAACCCAGCCAGCCUCCUGGAAAUAACGAUCUAGAGGGGAAAUGGAAAAUGACAGUCAUCCCAGAACACUGCUCUAUGGACGGGAUGAAUGAAGAGUUCAGUAGAAGAAAGCUUGGCUCUGCUCACUAACAGGGCUCCCCCAAUGUUCAAAGCACCACAGGGGUUCCUCUCUAGGCCAGCUAGCUCUGCCCAGAAUGAAGUCUCCUCUACCCCUGGCAUACCACAGUGGUACCCCUGCUCCAAGACGCCCUCUGUCUUCAUUGUGCUUUAUGCUCUUAGCUGUUAGCUCUUUCCUGGCACCUUUGACAUUAUCUACCUUGUACGGCCCCUCACAUGAGAGUGAGGGAUACAUCUGUACCCAGUAAGUGCUGUGCAGAUUCAAUCUGUAGGAAUUAAAUCCAACUGGAAAAUGUUAUUAGACAAAAUAAGGAAAGUAUGCAUUUGUAUUUGCUGGCAUGGAAGGAAGGAUUCCUAGAGAAAUCACAGCUACUCAGGAAGCUGACGCGGGAUCAAAAGUUUGAGG
rnacentral:lncRNA from 1 species